UACGAAGGGGGCUAGCGUUGCUCGGAAUCACUGGGCGUAAAGCGCACGUAGGCGGCUUCUUAAGUCAGGGGGUGAAAUCCUGGAGCUCAACUCCAGAACUGCCUUUGAUACUGGGAGGCUCGAGUCCGGGAGAGGUGAGUGGAACUGCGAGUGUAGAGGUGAAAUUCGUAGAUAUUCGCAAGAACACCAGUGGCGAAGGCGGCUCACUGGCCCGGUACUGACGCUGAGGUGCGAAAGCGUGGGGAGCAAACAGG
rnacentral:rRNA from 1 species